rnacentral:rRNA from 1 species
UACGUAGGGUGCAAGCGUUGUCCGGAAUUAUUGGGCGUAAAGAGCUCGUAGGCGGUCUGUUGCGUCCGCUGUGAAAACUCGGGGCUUAACCCCGAGCCUGCAGUGGAUACGGGCAGACUAGAGGUAGGUAGGGGAGAAUGGAAUUCCCGGUGUAGCGGUGAAAUGCGCAGAUAUCGGGAGGAACACCGGUGGCGAAGGCGGUUCUCUGGGCCUACCUGACGCUGAGGAGCGAAAGCG